AUGAACUCUCUGCGUGAUUUCCCAAGAUUUCCACGCCACGAAAUGUAUGAGGAAAUGUCAGUAGAAAGAAACUGGACGGACACCGAGACGAGAGCGCUGCUGUACAUCCGACAGGACGAAGAUAUCAGCAGGCAAAUCAGCGGAACGGUUCGCGAUUCUCUUAUUUACGCUGAAAUCUCAAGACUUCUCCGCGCGCAAGGUAUCCACAGAACCAAGCGGCAGGUCACCACCAAACUGAAAACACUCAAGCAGAAGUUCCUGAAAAUACACGAGCAUCACAAAAACAACGGGCACGGCAGAGUGUACUGGAAUUAUUAUGAUCUCUGCAAGUCCAUUUGGGGCAGCAACCGCCCCGCGGACGCUUUAAUACUUCACAGCAACGUGAAACUCGAAGAGCCGCAGAGUACGUCCAUUGAGGACGCGCGAAAUGAGCGCAGAUCCACCGACAUCGAGGAGGUGUCGGUCAGUCACGACGAGGAGACGGAGGACAUGGCAGACGUGGUUGCUCAACCUGUGAGGAAGAAGGCCAAAAAACGUUCCAUUACCGACUCCGUGAGAGCUCAAGAACCUCUCCACGUGCAAAACCGGAGGGAGUAUGAGGAACGAUUGCGAAGGGAAGCCAGAGAGGAGCAGAAGGAGGAACGGGCGAGUCUGAUGGCCAUGUGGAAGGAGAUGAUGGAGUUUCAAGGGAACCUCUUAAAGGAGUUCAUACACCUCCCAUCUCUGCCUUCACAUCCAUCUUACCACAGACAUGCUCUUCACAACCAAGCACUCUCUAGUUUUCCAAGCACUAGCUACAUGCUGCCGUACGACUCGCCAGGAGCUGAAACUGAGAAUGAAAGUGCAAUCUCACAUGAAGAAGAGGAGGAGGAGGAAGAGAAAUACGUUAUUCCAGCUGAGAUUGCACCUGUUAACUGUGGAAACGACAGCCAAUCAAACACAGCAGAGACUGUUUCACCCCCGCCUACACAAUCAGCGGGAAAGAGCGAUCUGGAGAUGUCUGUGCUACGCAGACAGGAAAGAGUCUUACAGCUUCAGGAAGAGUACUAUUCACUCAAAAUCAACUAUUUGAAACACAAGAUGACCAAGGAUCCAUGACAGAAUGCUAAAGAGGAGUGUUAACUCUUUUGCUCUUUUAGUCUGUGAAAACUUGCAAUGUAGAUGUUCUCAGCUGGACUGUGGAAAAUACUAGUGUGUAUGCGUCUGCACACCUCAUAUUCCUUAUAACUCUUAUUACAUAUUUUGACCAGUAGAUGGCUAGGUGGUCACUUCAUAUUUCCUGGUGUCAUUAGACAUGUGCAAGACAGAUUUACAGCUAAGGCUUGGUUUUUCUUUAAAUAUAUGAAUAUUUAUAUACAUUUGCUCAUUUUUAUGGCAGUUUACUAGCAGUUGUUUUUGAGGCAUUAUUUAGCAAAUCUGUCUCCAUUUUCUCCACUAAACGUUACUGGUCUUAUUAUAAAUGAUUCAUUAGUUUGUUGUGUAACAAUCAAUCACACAAUUAUGUCACAAUCAAUUCCUGAUGGAACAGUCUUGCUUUAUCUUCCCAUUUAAGGUUCUGUUUAGCACAUUAUGGCUGUAAAAUGGGUUGCAAAUGCAGUGUAAUGUUGGCUAUAGGAACUACCCUGAGCUAGAUGUUACACUUCUACUGUGGAGUAUGUCUGUUACCAUUAUUUUUCAUUAAAUUAAUGAAAACCAGCGAGGAGUCAGAAACAGUAUGCAAAAUACUAAAUCAAAAGCAAAAGUCUUUUUCAAAGAAUUGUUUAAAGCAGGGAUUCCCAAACUCUUUUUUUAGUCAAACCCCCUUUGAACUAAAAUAUUUUCUUGAGAUUUUAAUUUAUUUGAAGAUUGCAUGUUCACGGUGAUGUCACCGAAUAUAUAUAUAUAUUGGCUUUUCAUUAUCUCUCAACCCUCUGUGGUUCCUUUGUGUUCAAAGGAACAAUUAAUCUGCAUACAAAAAAAGAAAAAUCUGUUGUUCUGAACCCUUAUGCUGUUAUUUGUUCUGUACACAGCUCUUACAACAUCUGUCAAGCUUUGAAAGGGACCAAAAGCACACAAGUCGUGUGGAGUAUUUUGUGUUCCCUUAUGUCUGUCAAACUCCAAAAAAACUCUUUUUAAGCUUGACAAACCCAGGUCACUACUGUCAGUGUGUGGCAAGAGCUGUGCAACACUUCUUCCAAAAUGUCUACAUUUGUGUUUCACAGAAAAAAAAAUAAGAGCAUACAGGUUUGGAAUAACAUGAGUAAAUAAUGACAGGAUUUUAUGUUAUAGCUCCAAAAGCUCCAGCUAUAUAUAUAUAUAUAUAUAUUUAUUAUUAUUCAGUGUUCUUUUCUGUUCAUUAUCACUCUCUUUCUCUUGUAUUUUCACUUCCAUCUCUCUGUUGUUUCCAGUCUCCCUCCUGCUAUUAAUGUUUAUACGACAGCCCUGUCUUUUGUUCAGUGUUUUUGUUUUAAAAUGAUGUUUGAUGCCAAGUUGGCUGGGAUUUUCACUUUCUUUACUGUUAAUUUAUAAUUUUUUGUUUCAGUCUUUUGUGGAGAAAAAGUUUAUAGAUCUGAACAUGAAGGUAAAAAAAACAACAACAGUAAAUUAAAAGAUUUCCAAUUAUAAGGAAUGUUUUGGAUUACAUACAAAUCAAUACCUAGAGCUUUAUAGAGCUUAUAUCUAUAACAUGCUGUUGAUUAUAUAAUCACAAAUAUACAUUUUAUUUAAUGUAUUUGGGGCAGAUGCUUUUAUUCAAAGCAACUUGCAUUAAAGCAUGUAUUUAAUACAAAUGCACAUUUUUUAAAGUUAAUGCGAUACGCUGAGAACUGAACCCAUGAUCUCAGUGUUGUUAAUGCACGCUCUACUGUUUGGGCUAUAGGAAUGGAGCUAAUCAUUUUGAAUUGUCCUUAAAUUUGUAAAAACAAGUUACAGUUGGUCAGUAAUGCAUUACCAGUAGUAUACAUAUGUGUAAAGAAUUCAUAUAAGUGCUUUAAAAACAAAAAUACAAGCUGCAUAUUUUAUGCUUUUAAUCCCACAAAUGUUUCUUUAUCGGCAUCUGUGGUUCCAUGAAGAACUUUUAACAUCCAUGGAAACUUUCCAUUGUACAAAAGGAAAAGUGUUCUUUAGAUUUUUAAAUUGUCCUUCACACUAUGAAAACUAAAAAAAAAAAAAAAAACUGAAAGGUUCUUUGGGGAACCAAAAAUUGUUCUUCUCUGGAAUCACUGUGAAAACCCCUUUGGUAGUUUUAUUUGUAAGAGUGCACCAGUUCAUUCAUGUAAAUAUGCUGUACACUUUUUUCCUUUAACUGGCAGAUGAGAUGAAAUUGUCUGUGAUAAUCAAUGAAAUGCCACAAAUGUCAUUUAUAGAUAAUAUGUUUCAUUGAACUUUUACAACUGAAAGUUUGUUGGAAGCAUUACGUCUGCAGCAGAAAGUACAUAUUGUAACCUUGAAGUAUUUGUCAGGGCUUCAUAAAACACAACAUGUAUAAGGGGCUUUUUUGGUAAAGCCGAAUGUUCUAUGAAAUGGCACCCCUGUGAAAGCAGAAAGUAAGUAAUUAAUAAAUAACUGGAAUAAAUAUAUAAAAACCUCA
ensembl:lncRNA